CUGGUCCUAAAUGUUAAUAGUGCCGAAGUUGAGAAACUGGUGUGUCAAACUGACAUAUUCAUGUACAAUCCCAUUUCAUGACAUCAGAGAUGAAGCUGGGCCUUGAGACUGCACCUGCAUAUUCCUACAGCUUCUCCAUCCUGCUGACAGUAAUGGAGGAGACAAACCAUGCAAGAAACAGUU
rnacentral:snoRNA from 1 species